UCCUUUGCGCAGUGGCAGUAUCAUAGCCAAUGAGGUUUAUCCGAGGCAUGAUUAUUGCUAAUCAAUCACAUUUCUUAGUUGCAAGCAACAGUAAACAACUCUGGCUGAUUUCAGCAGCAAGGAUACUUG
ensembl:snRNA U4 U4 spliceosomal RNA